rnacentral:rRNA from 1 species
GACAGAGGAUGCAAACGUUGCUCGGAAUUACUGGGCGUAAAGCGCGUGUAGGCGGCUUGGUAAGUCGGACGUGAAAUCCCGGGGCUCAACCCCCGGAAGGGCGCUCGAUACUGCCCGAACUUUGGGGUCCUGAAGAGGAGAGCGGAAUUCCCGGUGUAGAGGUGAAAUUCGUAGAUAUCGGGAGGAACACCAGUGGCGAAGGCGGCUCUCUGGGCAGGUACCGACGCUGAGACGCGAAAGCGUGGGAAGCAAAC